UACGUAGGGGGGCAAGCGUUGUCCGGAUUUAUUGGGCGUAAAGCGCGUGUAGGUGGCCAAUCAGGUCCGCUGUGAAAACUCGAGGCUCAACCUCGAGAUGUCGGUGGAAACCGCUUGGCUAGAGUCCGGAAGAGGAGAGUGGAAUUCCUGGUGUAGCGGUGAAAUGCGCAGAUAUCAGGAAGAACACCAAUGGCGAAGGCAGCUCUCGUGGGACGGUACUGACACUGAGACGCGAAAGCGUGGGGAGCGAACAGG
rnacentral:rRNA from 1 species